rnacentral:tRNA from 1 species
CGGGAAUAGCUCAGUUGGUAGAGCGCAACCUUGCCAAGGUUGAGGUCGCGAGUUCGAGCCUCGUUUCCCGCUCCA